rnacentral:rRNA from 1 species
GCGUUGUUCGGAAUUACUGGGCGUAAAGGGUUCGUAGGUGGCUCACUAAGUCACACGUGAAAUCCCUCAGCUUAACUGGGGAACUGCGUGUGAAACUGGAGAGCUUGAGGGUAGGAGAGGAAUGCGGAAUUCCAGGUGUAGCGGUGAAAUGCGUAGAUAUCUGGAGGAACACCGGUGGCGAAGGCGGCAUUCUGGACUAUUUCUGACACUGAUGAACGAAAGCCAG